GGAAUCUUCCACAAUGGACGCAAGUCUGAUGGAGCAACGCCGCGUGAGUGAAGAAGGUUUUCGGACCGUAAAGCUCUGUUGUUGGUGAAGAAGGAUAGAGGUAGUAACUGGCCUUUAUUUGACGGUAAUCAACCAGAAAGUCACGGCUAACUACGUGCCAGCAGCCGCGGUAAUACGUAGGUGGCAAGCGUUGUCCGGAUUUAUUGGGCGUAAAGCGAGCGCAGGCGGAAGAAUAAGUCUGAUGUGAAAGCCCUCGGCUUAACCGAGGAAUUGCAUCGGAAACUGUUUUCUUGAGUGCAGAAGAGGAGAGUAGAACUCCAUGUGUAGCGGUGGAAUGCGUAGAUAUAUGGAAGAAUACCAGUGGCGAAGGCGGCUCUCUGGUCUGCAACUGACGCUGAGGCUCGAAAAGCAUGGGUAGCGAACAGGAUUAGAUACCCUGGUAGUCCAUGCCGUAAACGAUGAGUGCUAAGUGUUGGGAGGCUUCCGCCUCUCAGUGCUGCAGCUAACGCAUUAAGCACUCCGCCUGGGGGAGUACGACCGCAAGGUU
rnacentral:rRNA from 1 species